AAGGGAAUCGAGNUCUCGGGCUUCGGCUCUCUCUCCCCCCUUUGUGAACGUACCUCUGUUGCUUUGGGGGCUCCGGCCGCCAUUAGACCUCCUAACUCCAGUCAGUAAACGCAGACGUCUGAUACAUUUGUUAAUAAACUAAAACUUUCAACAACGGAUCUCUUGGUUCUGGCAUCGAUGAAGAACGCAGCAA
rnacentral:rRNA from 1 species